CACCCUCUGCAGCCCUUGCUCCCCUCUCAGAGCAUGCGAGGCCCCUCCGCCUAGGGCUGGGGACAGGACCCAGAAAUGUCGCGGUUCAAACAGAGGCACCAACACAAUAUAGGCUUUCACCAUGCAAGUGUAUUGAGUUUAUGUACCUGUUGAUCCAUGGACGUGUCUGAUGACUGGGUAUGUACAAGUAUGCAUAUGUUUGUGCUUUCUGUGUGAAUACAUGCUUGUGUGUUGAUGUAAAUCUGCAUGAGUGUGUGGGAUGUGUGUGCACGUUUCUGUAGGAUGCGAGUGUGCCCUGUAGGUGCAUCUUAAAGUAGGAAUGUGGAUGGGUGAAAUGUGUAUGUGUGGGAUGCUGUGGGAAUGAGUGUUUUGUGUGCCUGUGUGGAGAUCUACAAAUGUGUGUACAUGGGUGAAUCUGUACGUGAAGCGUGUGCGUGCACGUGUGAUAUGUGUGGUGUGUAUGAGUGUGUGUGGUUGCAGGUAUGUGCAUGCACAAACGUACCCUUGUUGUCCUUUUCUUUCCUUUCCUCCUGGGGAACUACAGAGCUUCUAAGUCCUAACCGUGGCUGGUGGCUCUUCCAGGAACAUGGUUUCCUGGACUUGAAGAGUGAGAACGUCAGAGGCCCCACGUGAGUGAGGAAGGGAGGUGGGCCCGAGGCCUGGGCUCCUCCGAGAACUGGGCGGAGGCCCCAAGGGCCACGGCUGCAGGCCAGCCUGGUGAAGGGGCUGGGACACCCAGGGCCUCAGCACCCCCUGCAUGCCCUGGGGAGUAUUGCUGCCACCUCUGGUCUUCAGUCUGCCCCUCAGUGGCUUUUAAAGCCUUUUUUGGUGGGGGGAGUAGAGCCAAAAGAAAAUCUCACAAGGAUGCCUGCUGUGGAAAGCAGAUGAACAAGUGGGAAGGCUCGGGUAGGGAGGGCCUGGGAAGCAUCUCCAUGGAAGAUAGGGCUAAGCUCCCAGCCCGGCUAUCCCUGGGCCUGCUCAGUUUACAUUCCAGUUUGCAGUUUAACAACACACCUCCAAGCGUAAUCUCAGCUAAUCCUCAUGAACUGCUUCCAGGCUGUGUGGGGAGCUGGAAGCAGGGCGGGGACAUGGACUGGCCCUGGUUCCACUCCUGCUCCCUCUUCUAGCUGAGCAACGUCUGCGCCCCCAGCCUCUCUCACAGCGGGGAUCAUGUGAGACCACGCAAGUUGACACCGUGUUCCGUCCACACCUGGCACACAGUAAGCCGUUGUGCUAAGAUUAUCACUUUACAGAUGGGGAAACUGAGACCUGGAGAGGCUCUCUGACUUUGUCCGAAGUCAACCUAGAGAUGCUGGAAAAGACUGAGGCCCAUCCUGACCUCAGAUGUCCACCGUCUGUCACGAGAAGUGUUUUCUUGUUCCUCCGAGCUUGGCCAGGCCGUGGUAAACCCCACAUGUGGUUCUGUGGUUGCCCACACAGACCUAAAAAUAGCCAACAGGAGCCCGGGGACUCCCCCCUUGGUAAAUGGCAGAAGGCCCAGUCCUCGGGCAGCCACGGACCUGCUCUGCCCCACAGACGAGCGGGUCCUGUCUAGGGAGGGCGGGGCGGCCUGGGUACCGCGUGUGAUGUGCCAGAGCCUGUGCCGAGCUGGUAACACAGAUUAUUUUAUUUCAUUGGUUUGGUGUGUUUUUUAGAGUCUGUGAUGGCCCAUUGGACAGACAUGGAAAUUGAGGCUCAGAGAGAUGAAGUGACCUGCCCAGGGUCAAGGAGCUUCAGUGAGAACCCAAGUUGUUCUGGUCCAAGGCCUGUGUUCUUAAUCCCUCACCCCCUCAGUCCUUCCCUAUCCUGAGCCUGGGGGCAGCUGGUGCAGGGGCGAGAGCAGGAGCUUUGGAGCCACAGACCUGGCCUCAGAUCCCAGCCUCACUGGGGCCUCCGUGUGGCCUCGGUGAGUCUUCAGCCUCAGUCUCCUCACCUACAAUCAGGGGCCACAUUGCCACUAUGUGGAUCCUGGUGGGGAUCGAAUGCAAUAAGGCAUGGAAGCACCCGGGGAGGGCCUGGCAUGCAGUGAGAGCUCACUGUCUCCACCCCCAACUACUCAGGACCACGCUUCCAAGGCAGGGCUGAGAGAGGCUGUGUGGGCUGAGCCUCUGGAAGUGUCCUGCCAGGUCAGGGAAGUGGGACUGCUAUGGGAGGUCAGGAGAGGAGGUCCCUGUGGGAGGCGUACUUUCCAAAAAUGGCCUCAGGAGCAUUUCCAGGUCCACACACUGGAAACUUGUCAUUCUCCAUCGAGAGAUGGAGUCUAUUGCCCCACUCCUUGAAACUGGGCAAAACUUUGUGACUGGCUCAAUGAGCAGAAUGCAGCAGAAUCGUCAUCCCACAACUUCCCAGGCUAAAUCUACGAAGGGAAUACAGCUUCCACCUGUCUGUUUGUCUGUCUGCCUGCCUGUCUCUGUCUCUGGAAUCCAGCCACCAUAUUGUGAGGAAGCCCAGGCCAUAUGAGAAGGACACUAUGGGUGCUCUUGCCAACAGCCUCAGUUAAGGUCUUGGCCAGUGACCAGCUUCAGCCACUGGACACAUGCAUGAACGACUCUUCAAACGAUUCCAGGUCCUGACUACAACCAAGCCAGGUCACGUCAAGCAGAGCAGAGGCGAAUGAUGCCCUCUGAGCCUCCCCAAAUGCAGGUUUGAGAACAAAGUAAACGUCCCUGUUUCAAGCGCUAAGUUUCUGGUACUCAGCACUGGGUAACAGGAACCGCCCUCCUGCCCUGCAGCCCUCCAAGCCACCCCAGCCAGGUACAGGUAAGCCCCUCCCCAUGUCCCACUCCCACUCCCACAGCCAGAACCUGGGUCAGUCCUCUGCCCACUGCUGAGCCCUCCCAGCCGAGACAGCCAGCCUGGCUCAGAGCCCCGCUCCAGCACUUUCCCUGCGUGCCCUCGGGCAGAUCACCAACCCUCUAUGAUGCUCAGUUUCCUCUGUGUCGAGUGGGAAUUGUGAUGGUAGCUCUCAGGAGUCUGGAGGGUUAACCAAAUAAAGUGCCUGGUACAGA